AGGACCUUACUUGAACACGAUCUGUUGUUCUAGGAUCGUACCACUGCAUCCUUGACUAAUGAGGAGGCAAGCACUAAGCUUGGUUGAUGACAUCUGACCUGUGGGCCCAUUGCUGUAAAGGAUCGCAGCAUGAACACCAGCGUUAAACAAGGUAGUCCAGGUA
rnacentral:snoRNA from 1 species